GCAGCCGCGGUAAUACGGGGGAUGCAAGCGUUAUCCGGAUUUAUUGGGUUUAAAGGGUGCGUAGGCGGUCUGGUAAGUCAGCGGUGAAAUUUAGGGGCUCAACCUCUACCGUGCCGUUGAUACUGUCGGACUAGAAUGCGGAUGCCGUGGGAGGAAUGUGUGGUGUAGCGGUGAAAUGCAUAGAUAUCACACAGAACACCGAUUGCGAAGGCAUCUCACGAAUCCGCAAUUGACGCUGAGGCACGAAAGCGUGGGGAUCAAACAGGAUUAGAUACCCC
rnacentral:rRNA from 1 species